rnacentral:rRNA from 1 species
CCUACGGGGGACAGGGGGGGGCUGGGUGGGUGAAGAAGCGCCUCGGCGCGUAAAGCCCUGUCAGCAGGGAAGAGAAUGACGGUACCUGAAGAAGAAGCCCCGGCUAACUACGUGCCAGCAGCCGCGGUAAUACGUAGGGGGCAAGCGUUAUCCGGAUUUACUGGGUGUAAAGGGGGCGCAGACGGCGAUGCAAGCCAGGAGUGAAAGCCCGGGGCCCAACCCCGGGACUGCUCUUGGAACUGCGUGGCUGGAGUGCAGGAGGGGCAGGCGGAAUUCCUGGUGUAGCGGUGAAAUGCGUAGAUAUCAGGAGGAACACCGGUGGCGAAGGCGGCCUGCUGGACUGCAACUGACGUUGAGGCCCGAAAGCGUGGGGAGCAAACAGGAUUAGAUACCCCUGUAGUC